GAAAAAUUCCAAACUUUGAAGGUCGAUAUCUCGGCUUCUAUGGGAGCUAUCGGGAAAAUUCCAACGGUUGUGUCUUAGUUUCGUCGUUCUGAAUCUAACGAGACCAUCCGCAAGGUCGUAGCUCUUCUAAUAGCUGAGAUAUGGCAUUUUUGAUGCCCAUUUUUGGCCUCAAAAACGGACGUCGAAAACGACUUUUUCAGGAUUUUCAAAGUGCUCUCAUUCCCUUAGUUCUGCUCGGAUCCUGUUAUAACCCGGUGUUUUCGUAAUCUAGGUGACCCAAAUAAGACGCUGGUAUACUUAGUUUGAUUUCGAAAAAAAUCAAUUUUUGGUGAAAAAAUUCGAUACGGGGGGGUAUACCCGAAAAAUGAAAAAUUCCAAACUUUGAAGGUCAAUAUCUCGGGUUCUAUGGGAGCUAUCGGGAAAAUUCCAACGGUUUUGUCUUAGUUUCGUCGUUCUGAAUCCAACGAGACGAUCCGCAAGGUCGUAGCUCUUCUAAUAGCUGAGAUAUGGCAUUUUUGAUGCCCAUUUUGGGCCUCAAAAACGGACGUCGAAAACGACUUUUUCAGGAUUUUCAAAGUGCUCUCAUUCCCUUAGUUCUGCUCGGAUCCUGUUAUAACCCGGUGUUUUCGUAAUCUAGGUGACCCAAAUAAGACGCUGGUAUACUUAGUUUGAUUUCGAAAAAAAUCAAUUUUUGGUGAAAAAAUUCGAUACGGGGGGGUAUACCCGAAAAAUGAAAAAUUCCAAACUUUGAAGGUCAAUAUCUCGGGUUCUAUGGGAGCUAUCGGGAAAAUUCCAACGGUUUUGUCUUAGUUUCGUCGUUCUGAAUCCAACGAGACGAUCCGCAAGGUCGUAGCUCUUCUAAUAGCUGAGAUAUGGCAUUUUUGAUGCCCAUUUUGGGCCUCAAAAACGGACGUCGAAAACGACUUUUUCAGGAUUUUCAAAGUGCUCUCAUUCCCUUAGUUCUGCUCGGAUCCUGUUAUAACCCGGUGUUUUCGUAAUCUAGGUGACCCAAAUAAGACGCUGGUAUACUUAGUUUGAUUUCGAAAAAAAUCAAUUUUUGGUGAAAAAAUUCGAUACGGGGGGGUAUACCCGAAAAAUGAAAAAUUCCAAACUUUGAAGGUCAAUAUCUCGGGUUCUAUGGGAGCUAUCGGGAAAAUUCCAACGGUUUUGUCUUAGUUUCGUCGUUCUGAAUCCAACGAGACCAUCCGCAAAGUCGUAGCUCUUCUAAUAGCUGAGAUAUGGCAUUUUUGAUGCCCAUUUUUGGCCUCAAAAACGGACGUCGAAAACGACUUUUUCAGGAUUUUCAAAGUGCUCUCAUUCCCUUAGUUCUGCUCGGAUCCUGUUAUAACCCGGUGUUUUCGUAAUCUAGGUGACCCAAAUAAGACGCUGGUAUACUUAGUUUGAUUUCGAAAAAAAUCAAUUUUUGGUGAAAAAAUUCGAUACGGGGGGGUAUACCCGAAAAAUGAAAAAUUCCAAACUUUAAAGGUCGAUAUCUUGGCUUCUAUGGGAGCUAUCGGGAAAAUCCCAACGGUUUUGUCUUAGUUUCGUCGUUCUGAAUUCAACGAGACCAUCCGCAAAGUCGUAGCUUUUACGAUAGCCGAGAUAUGGCAUUUUUGAUGCCCAUUUUUGGCCUCAAAAACGGACGUCGAAAACGACUUUUUCACGAUUUUCAAAGUGCUCUCAUUCUCUUAGUUCUGCUCGGAUCCUAUUAUAACCCGGUGUUUUCGUAAUCUAGGUGACCCAAAUAAGACGCUGGUAUACUUAGUUUGAUUUCGAAAAAAAUCAAUUUUUGGUGAAAAAAUUCGAUACGGAGGGGUAUACGCGAAAAAUGAAAAAUUCCAAACUUUGAAGGUCGAUAUCUCGGCUUCUAUGGGAGCUGUCGGGAAAAUUUCAACGGUUUUGUCUUAGUUUCGUCGUUCUGAAUCCAACGAGACCAUCCGCAAAGUCGUAGCUUUUACGAUAGCCGAGAUAUGGCAUUUUUGAUGCUCAUUUUUGGCCUCAAAAACGGACGUCGAAAACGACUUUUUCACGAUUUUCAAAAGGCUCUCAUUCUCUUAGUUCU
rnacentral:lncRNA from 1 species